rnacentral:rRNA from 1 species
GACGUAGGAUGCAAGCGUUGUCCGGAUUUAUUGGGCGUAAAGAGUUCGUAGGCGGUCUGUUAAGUCUGAUGUUAAAGAUCGGGGCCCAACCCCGGGACUGCAUUGGAAACUGGCAGGCUGGAGUGCAGUAGAGGCAAGCGGAAUUCCCGGUGUAGCGGUGAAAUGCGUAGAUAUCGGGAAGAACACCGGUGGCGUAAGCGGCUUGCUGGGCUGUAACUGACGCUGAGGAACGAAAGCCAGGGGAGCGAAUGGG